rnacentral:rRNA from 1 species
GAUCAUGGCUCAGGAUGAACGCUAGCUACAGGCUUAACACAUGCAAGUCGAGGGGAAACGACAUCGAAAGCUUGCUUUUGGNGGGCGUCGACCGGCGCACGGGUGAGUAACGCGUAUCCAACCUGCCCACCACUUGGGGAUAACCUUGCGAAAGUAAGACUAAUACCCAAUGAUAUCCCACGAAGGCAUCCGAAUGGGAUUAAAGAUUUAUCGGUGAUGGAUGGGGAUGCGUCUGAUUAGCUUGUUGGCGGGGUAACGGCCCACCAAGGCAACGAUCAGUAGGGGUUCUGAGAGGAAGGUCCCCCACAUUGGAACUGAGACACGGUCCAAACUCCUACGGGAGGCAGCAGUGAGGAAUAUUGGUCAAUGGGCGAGAGCCUGAACCAGCCAAGUAGCGUGCAGGAUGACGGCCCUAUGGGUUGUAAACUGCUUUUAUAAGGGAAUAAAGUGGGUCUCGUGAGACUUUUUGCAUGUACCUUAUGAAUAAGGACCGGCUAAUUCCGUG